UUCGCCCUUAGAGUUUGAUCCUGGCUCAGGAUGAACGCUGGCGGCGUGCCUAACACAUGCAAGUCGAGCGAAGCACUUUAAUUCGAUUCUUCGGAUGAAGAUUUUUGUGACUGAGCGGCGGACGGGUGAGUAACGCGUGGGCAACCUGCCUUACACAGGGGGAUAACAGUUAGAAAUGACUGCUAAUACCGCAUAAGACCGCAGUACCGCAUGGUACAGCGGUAAAAACUCCGGUGGUGUAAGAUGGGCCCGCGUCUGAUUAGGUAGUUGGCGGGGUAACGGCCCACCAAGCCGACGAUCAGUAGCCGACCUGAGAGGGUGACCGGCCACAUUGGGACUGAGACACGGCCCAGACUCCUACGGGAGGCAGCAGUGGGGAAUAUUGCACAAUGGGGGAAACCCUGAUGCAGCGACGCCGCGUGAGCGAUGAAGUAUUUCGGUAUGUAAAGCUCUAUCAGCAGGGAAGAAAAUGACGGUACCUGACUAAGAAGCCCCGGCUAACUACGUGCCAGCAGCCGCGGUAAUACGUAGGGGGCAAGCGUUAUCCGGAUUUACUGGGUGUAAAGGGAGCGUAGACGGCUGUGCAAGCCAGAUGUGAAAGCCCGGGGCUCAACCCCGGGACUGCAUUUGGAACUGUGUGGCUGGAGUGUCGGAGAGGCAGGCGGAAUUCCUAGUGUAGCGGUGAAAUGCGUAGAUAUUAGGAGGAACACCAGUGGCGAAGGCGGCCUGCUGGACGAUGACUGACGUUGAGGCUCGAAAGCGUGGGGAGCAAACAGGAUUAGAUACCCUGGUAGUCCACGCUGUAAACGAUCGAUACUAGGUUUGGGGGGAGAGACCCCCUGGCGGGGCCGGGAGUUAACACAAUUAAGUAUCGCACCUGGGGGGUACGAUCGCAAGGGUUGAAACUCAAAGGAAUUGACGGGGGCCCGCACAAGCGGUGGAUUAUGUGGUUUAAUUCGAAGCAACGCGAAGAACCUUACCAGGGCUUGACAUCCUACUAACGAAGUAGAGAUACAUUAGGUACCCUUCGGGGGAAGUAGAGACAGGUGGUGCAUGGUUGUCGUCAGCUCGUGUCGUGAGAUGUUGGGUUAAGUCCCGCAACGAGCGCAACCCUUAUUGUUAGUUGCUACGCAAGAGCACUCUAGCGAGACUGCCGUUGACAAAACGGAGGAAGGUGGGGAGGACGUCAAAUCAUCAUGCCCCUUAUGUCCUGGGCUACACACGUAAUACAAUGGCGGUAAACAGAGGGAUGCAAAGCUGUGAAGUGGAGCGAACCCCUAAAAGCCGUCCCAGUUCAGAUUGCAGUCUGCAACUCGACUGCAUGAAGUCGGAAUCGCUAGUAAUCGCGGAUCAGCAUGCCGCGGUGAAUACGUUCCCAGGCCUUGUACACACCGCCCGUCA
rnacentral:rRNA from 1 species